GAUCCUGGCUCAGGAUGAACGCUGGCGGCGUGCCUAAUACAUGCAAGUCGAUCGGAAUGUAGCAAUACAUUAAGAGGCGAACGGGUGAGUAACACGUAGGUAAUCUGCCCCAAGGACUGGGAUACCCAAGCGAAAGUUUGGCUAAUACCGGAUAUGAGGAAACUUAAAAGCAGCGAUUGCUGCACCAUGGGAUGAGCCUGCGGCGCAUUAGCUAGUUGGUGAGAUAAGAG
rnacentral:rRNA from 1 species